CAUCCAGUGAAGUAGCGCUCAUAUUUCUCUUGAGUAGCACCUUUACUCCUUCAGAAUACCAAUAAGUCUUACAUUGGGCCUAAAAUCAAUAUGAUCCUUUCCAAAUCUGUAUUUAUUCCUCUCAGAUUGUCUCUCAACCUUAGACGCUCUGCUGUGCUGUAGGACAGAGAAGAGGCUGGUGAAGGAGGGAGGACGUGAGGGGAAUGUGAGGGCUGUUGGACUUGGUGUCGUUCUGCUGGUUGGUGACAUUUGCGGUUCCAGUUUGGACAAGAAGUCAGGACUUUAAAAGACAGGAAUGUGUUCAAGACUUGUGUUGUAAUUUGCUUGGAUCUGGUACAGGUGAAUUUGAACCAUCAGUUUUGGCGUGCUUCCUGUUGUUCAGUUUUGUCUAACUUUCUCCAUGGAUUGUAUGCCAUUUAAACACCUGCACAUGGCCUGAAAAACGUGUCUGAUCUCGAAGACGUCAGCAGGGUCCCGACAAGACCAGGAAAUGACUCCCUCCCUUUCAGUCGGAGGAGUGAUGUCAUCGCAGGGAGAGCGUGAGGUUGGCUAAGGCUUUAUUGAGCUUGACGUUUUAUCACCAAGAGCACGAGACGUAUGACCACAUGCACCAGUCAAUACGAGGACACAGAGCAGGAAAAGUGAGAGCCAAAUGACAUGGCAAUGCAUGUGUGACUCGUUAUAAACCCCCCUGGGAGGGAAAAGGAGUGUGAGGCAAAGGCACGCGGAGAGACAGAGAUGCAGAUAGAAACCCAGAGGGGAAGAGGGACAGCAUGAGUGUGCAUGCUGAUGGGGAUAGGAGUGUGUGGAGCUACAGAGCUGCAGAAUCCUGAAUCCAGCAGAUGGAGACUCCGUGUCCUUGUUUUGCGGUGAUCUUUGGGAGCAACAUGCAGCUCGCGCCGCUGCCUCGCACUGCUGCAGUGGAGGAGUAAAUGCGGAGCCCAACACUGCUCCAGAUGUGAAACACCUCUACAUGACUGUCCGCCGCUUCCCUGUCAUCGAGUGAAGACGCGCCGCAUAUGUGCUCCAAUGUCUCCAGAACAUAGACUCGCUGCAAGUGCCACAGCCAGGGAUUUUCCUGCAUGGAGGAAUUUUUGGAGCACCCCCAAAGAGGUUUUAGCCAGCCCCAAAGGAAAAUCACC